rnacentral:rRNA from 3 species
CGGACCAAGGAGUUUAGCGUGUGCGCGAGUCAUUGGGCGGAAAACCUAAAGGCGAAAUGAAAGUGAAAGGGGUCUCUGACCCCCGAGGGAAGAUGGGCGUCCGUCCUUCGCAGGCGGCGCCCCGCACUCCCGGGGCGUCUCUUACUCAUCACGAGUGGAGGCGCACCUAUAGCGCACACGCUGAUACCCGAAAGAUGGUGAACUAUGCCUGGCCAGGACGAAGCCAGGGGAAACCCUGGUGGAGGUCCGCAGCGAUUCUGACGUGCAAAUCGAUCGUCGGAGCUGGGUAUAGGGGCGAAAGACCAAUCGAACCAUCUAGUAGCUGGUUCCUUCCGAA